CACACCCUUGAGCUGCUGCUGCCGUCUCUGCUAGGGUUUGGCCCUCCGUUCCGUUCGAGUUAGUUCAACCUCGUUGCUCCUGCACCUCUUCAAUCUGCUCGUGGGGCUGCUGCAGUGGUGGGCUUAGGUGUCAAAGUUAUUUUGCUAGCUCAUUCUAGAUGCGAGAACCCAUGGUAGUGGUAAUAGCAAUGAGGAUGCUACGGCUUGAUGGUUAUGGACGGGUAUGAGGCUCACUAGGGAGCCCUUAGCUGAAGAAGUUUUAUUGUCUAGAUUUAUUUUUCUGUACGAGAACUUGUG